rnacentral:rRNA from 1 species
UACAGAGGGUGCAAGCGUUGUUCGGAAUUAUUGGGCGUAAAGCGCGUGUAGGCGGCUUUGCAAGUCGGAUGUGAAAGCCCUCGGCUCAACCGAGGAAGUGCGUUCGAAACUGCAGAGCUUGAGUGCCGGAGAGGGUGGCGGAAUUCCCCAAAGUAGAGGUGAAAUGCGUAGAUAUUGGGAGGAACACCAGUGGCGAAGGCGGCUACCUGGACCGGUUCUGACGCUGAUGCGCGAAAGCGUGGGUAGCAAACAGG